GGGUUGUGAGGUUAAGCGACUAAGCGUACACGGUGGAUGCCCUGGCAGUCAGAGGCGAUGAAGGACGUGCUAAUCUGCGAUAAGCGUCGGUAAGGUGAUAUGAACCGUUAUAACCGGCGAUUUCCGAAUGGGGAAACCCAGUGUGAUUCGUCACACUAUCAUUAACUGAAUCCAUAGGUUAAUGAGGCGAACCGGGGGAACUGAAACAUCUAAGUACCCCGAGGAAAAGAAAUCAACCGAGAUUCCCCCAGUAGCGGCGAGCGAACGGGGAGGAGCCCAGAGCCUGAAUCAGUGUGUGUGUUAGUGGAAGCGUCUGGAAAGGCGCGCGAUACAGGGUGACAGCCCCGUACACAAAAAUGCACAUGCUGUGAGCUCGAUGAGUAGGGCGGGACACGUGGUAUCCUGUCUGAAUAUGGGGGGACCAUCCUCCAAGGCUAAAUACUCCUGACUGACCGAUAGUGAACCAGUACCGUGAGGGAAAGGCGAAAAGAACCCCGGCGAGGGGAGUGAAAAAGAACCUGAAACCGUGUACGUACAAGCAGUGGGAGCACGCUUAGGCGUGUGACUGCGUACCUUUUGUAUAAUGGGUCAGCGACUUAUAUUCUGUAGCAAGGUUAACCGAAUAGGGGAGCCGAAGGGAAACCGAGUCUUAACUGGGCGUUAAGUUGCAGGGUAUAGACCCGAAACCCGGUGAUCUAGCCAUGGGCAGGUUGAAGGUUGGGUAACACUAACUGGAGGACCGAACCGACUAAUGUUGAAAAAUUAGCGGAUGACUUGUGGCUGGGGGUGAAAGGCCAAUCAAACCGGGAGAUAGCUGGUUCUCCCCGAAAGCUAUUUAGGUAGCGCCUCGUGAAUUCAUCUCCGGGGGUAGAGCACUGUUUCGGCAAGGGGGUCAUCCCGACUUACCAACCCGAUGCAAACUGCGAAUACCGGAGAAUGUUAUCACGGGAGACACACGGCGGGUGCUAACGUCCGUCGUGAAGAGGGAAACAACCCAGACCGCCAGCUAAGGUCCCAAAGUCAUGGUUAAGUGGGAAACGAUGUGGGAAGGCCCAGACAGCCAGGAUGUUGGCUUAGAAGCAGCCAUCAUUUAAAGAAAGCGUAAUAGCUCACUGGUCGAGUCGGCCUGCGCGGAAGAUGUAACGGGGCUAAACCAUGCACCGAAGCUGCGGCAGCGACGCUGAUGCGUUGUUGGGUAGGGGAGCGUUCUGUAAGCCUGUGAAGGUGUGCUGUGAGGCAUGCUGGAGGUAUCAGAAGUGCGAAUGCUGACAUAAGUAACGAUAAAGCGGGUGAAAAGCCCGCUCGCCGGAAGACCAAGGGUUCCUGUCCAACGUUAAUCGGGGCAGGGUGAGUCGACCCCUAAGGCGAGGCCGAAAGGCGUAGUCGAUGGGAAACAGGUUAAUAUUCCUGUACUUGGUGUUACUGCGAAGGGGGGACGGAGAAGGCUAUGUUGGCCGGGCGACGGUUGUCCCGGUUUAAGCGUGUAGGCUGGUUUUCCAGGCAAAUCCGGAAAAUCAAGGCUGAGGCGUGAUGACGAGGCACUACGGUGCUGAAGCAACAAAUGCCCUGCUUCCAGGAAAAGCCUCUAAGCAUCAGGUAACAUCAAAUCGUACCCCAAACCGACACAGGUGGUCAGGUAGAGAAUACCAAGGCGCUUGAGAGAACUCGGGUGAAGGAACUAGGCAAAAUGGUGCCGUAACUUCGGGAGAAGGCACGCUGAUAUGUAGGUGAAGUCCCUCGCGGAUGGAGCUGAAAUCAGUCGAAGAUACCAGCUGGCUGCAACUGUUUAUUAAAAACACAGCACUGUGCAAACACGAAAGUGGACGUAUACGGUGUGACGCCUGCCCGGUGCCGGAAGGUUAAUUGAUGGGGUCAGCGCAAGCGAAGCUCUUGAUCGAAGCCCCGGUAAACGGCGGCCGUAACUAUAACGGUCCUAAGGUAGCGAAAUUCCUUGUCGGGUAAGUUCCGACCUGCACGAAUGGCGUAAUGAUGGCCAGGCUGUCUCCACCCGAGACUCAGUGAAAUUGAACUCGCUGUGAAGAUGCAGUGUACCCGCGGCAAGACGGAAAGACCCCGUGAACCUUUACUAUAGCUUGACACUGAACAUUGAGCCUUGAUGUGUAGGAUAGGUGGGAGGCUUAGAAGUGUGGACGCCAGUCUGCAUGGAGCCGACCUUGAAAUACCACCCUUUAAUGUUUGAUGUUCUAACGUUGACCCGUAAUCCGGGUUGCGGACAGUGUCUGGUGGGUAGUUUGACUGGGGCGGUCUCCUCCUAAAGAGUAACGGAGGAGCACGAAGGUUGGCUAAUCCUGGUCGGACAUCAGGAGGUUAGUGCAAUGGCAUAAGCCAGCUUGACUGCGAGCGUGACGGCGCGAGCAGGUGCGAAAGCAGGUCAUAGUGAUCCGGUGGUUCUGAAUGGAAGGGCCAUCGCUCAACGGAUAAAAGGUACUCCGGGGAUAACAGGCUGAUACCGCCCAAGAGUUCAUAUCGACGGCGGUGUUUGGCACCUCGAUGUCGGCUCAUCACAUCCUGGGGCUGAAGUAGGUCCCAAGGGUAUGGCUGUUCGCCAUUUAAAGUGGUACGCGAGCUGGGUUUAGAACGUCGUGAGACAGUUCGGUCCCUAUCUGCCGUGGGCGCUGGAGAACUGAGGGGGGCUGCUCCUAGUACGAGAGGACCGGAGUGGACGCAUCACUGGUGUUCGGGUUGUCAUGCCAAUGGCACUGCCCGGUAGCUAAAUGCGGAAGAGAUAAGUGCUGAAAGCAUCUAAGCACGAAACUUGCCCCGAGAUGAGUUCUCCCUGACUCCUUGAGAGUCCUGAAGGAACGUUGAAGACGACGACGUUGAUAGGCCGGGUGUGUAAGCGCAGCGAUGCGUUGAGCUAACCGGUACUAAUGAACCGUGAGGCUUAACCUUACAACGCCGAAG
rnacentral:rRNA from 1 species